rnacentral:rRNA from 1 species
GACGAACGCUGGCGGCGUGCUUAACACAUGCAAGUCGAACGGAAAGGCCCUGCUUUUGUGGGGUGCUCGAGUGGCGAACGGGUGAGUAACACGUGAGUAACCUGCCCUUGACUUUGGGAUAACUUCAGGAAACUGGGGCUCAUACCGGAUAGGAGCUCCUGCUGCAUGGUGGGGGUUGGAAAGUUUCGGCGGUUGGGGAUGGACUCGCGGCUUAUCAGCUUGUUGGUGGGGUAGUGGCUUACCAAGGCAUUGACGGGUAGCCGGCCUGAGAGGGUGACCGGCCACAUUGGGACGGAGAUACGGCCCAGACUCCAACGGGAGGCAGCAGUGGGGAAUAUUGCACAAUGGGCGGAAGCCUGAUGCAGCAACGCAGCGUGCGGGAUGACGGCCUUCGGGUUGUAAACCGAUUUCGCCUGUGACGAAGCGUGAGUGACGGUAAUGGGUAAAGAAGCACCGGCUAACUACGUG